rnacentral:rRNA from 1 species
ACAGCAGCAGCCGCGGUAAUACGGAGGGAGCUAGCGUUGUUCGGAAUUACUGGGCGUAAAGCGCGCGUAGGCGGUUACUCAAGUCAGAGGUGAAAGCCCGGGGCUCAACCCCGGAACUGCCUUUGAAACUAGGUGACUAGGAUCUUGGAGAGGUCAGUGGAAUUCCGAGUGUAGAGGUGAAAUUCGUAGAUAUUCGGAAGAACACCAGUGGCGAAGGCGACUGACUGGACAAGUAUUGACGCUGAGGUGCGAAAGCGUGGGGAGCAAACAGGAUUAGAUACCCGCGUAGUCCCUGUCUCUUAUAA